UACAGAGGUCUCAAGCGUUGUUCGGAUUCAUUGGCCAUAAAGGGUGUGUAGGUGGCGCCGUAAGUCGGGUGUGAAAUUUCGGAGCUUAACUCCGAAACUGCAUUCGAUACUGCGGUGCUUGAGGACUGGAGAGGAGACUGGAAUUCAUGGUGUAGCAGUGAAAUGCGUAGAGAUCAUGAGGAAGACCAGUGGCGAAGGCGGGUCUCUGGACAGUUCCUGACACUGAGACACGAAGGCCAGGGGAGCAAACGGG
rnacentral:rRNA from 1 species